UACGUAGGGUGCAAGCGUUGUCCGGAAUUAUUGGGCGUAAAGAGCUCGUAGGCGGUUUGUCGCGUCUGCUGUGAAAACUCGGGGCUUAACUCCGGGCCUGCAGUGGGUACGGGCAGACUAGAGUGCGGUAGGGGAGACUGGAAUUCCUGGUGUAGCGGUGAAAUGCGCAGAUAUCAGGAAGAACACCCGUGGCUAAGGCGGCUCUCUAGUACGGUACUGACGCUGAGACGCGAAAGCGUGGGGAGCGAGCAGG
rnacentral:rRNA from 1 species